rnacentral:lncRNA from 1 species
AUGUCAGUAUCCUAGAAAUAGAUUUCUCUUUUACUUGCUUGUUUAUCCAAUAGCUAUAUCUUGUUUAGGGAAACAAUUACUAAAAUUUACUUAAUUCUAACAUGAAAAGUUUUGAAUGAGGAUAAUCUCCGCAAAAGCCAGUCAUUUAACCAGAGUGAGUGCAAUUGAUUGUAUUUCUCACUAAUACCUGAAAACAUGGAAGAAUCAAGAUGAAGAUUGAAGAAGAAGAUGAGUCGGUUUGAGAGAAGCUUCUGGAGAGCUUCAGAGAGAGAAAAACUUUACAAUAACAAAAUAUCCCGGCUGACCCCAACACAAAGGGGUCAGGAGUGUAUAUAAUGCAAUUGGGCCAACUCGGGUCAAGCAUAAACCAAAAGAAAAAAUGGGCUCAGACAUGUUCUGGCCCAACACACAUGAUAUACACGAUAUACAAAUAGUAUACAAUAAAUAUACACUACAAAAUCAAUGUAUGUGUCUAGGUUUUGAAGCUAGAUAAUCUAAUUUUCAUCUUGAUUCUUCAAUGUUUUCAUGGUAUCAAAGCCAAUUUUAUUUUUAGCAGACAAUGCUACAAUCAUUUUCCUUCUCCAACCCCCAUACCCACUACCCGAGAAGGGGGUGGAUACAAGAGAAACACCAGGAACAUCAGAGGAGUAAACAAAUAGGGGUGGUAGGGUCAACAAGAGUUGUAUUAGCACUCAUGUUAGCAGCCAUGAAGAACAAUGAGUUUAAAAUAAAAGGAUAAUCUCUGUAAUUAGUUGUAAAAACUAAAGUUGUAUCAAAAACCUCAUGCAAAUCAUAUACCACCUAAAACAGAAACAGAUUUACCCUCCUUCUUCGCGACCGGAGAAGAUCGGCCUUCGAUUAAUAGAAAAAUGUCAGUUCCGAGCAGCAGAAACCCUAAAAUCUGAAGUCUCGCCGGAAUCGAGUCAAGGACGUCGGAAAACCAACCCAAAACGUCCAAGUAGUGAAGAUGCAACCUUUAGCGGUGAUAAAGGUCUCAGAUCAACACUCGAUUUUGAUCGAAAUCAUCACUGACCAAAUAUCUCACAAACACCCGAAAACUUUCCAAAGCGAUUUCGACUGGGAUAACAAAAUACAGCGGAGAAUCGUCGGAUCAUCAUCCCGCUCUGAUACCAUGAAAACAUUGAAGAAUCAAGAUGAAAAUUGAAGAAGAAGAUGAGUCGGUUUGAGAGUAGCUUCUGGAGAGCUUCAGAGAGAGAGAGAAAAACUUUUCAAUAACAAAAUAUCCCGAAUGACCCUAAUAAAAAUGGGUCAGUUGUGUAUAUAAUACAUCUGGGCCAACUCGGGCCAAACAGAUACCAAAAGAAGAAAAUGGGCUCAGAUAUAUUGUAGCCCAAAAUACAUUAAGUAUACACUACAAAAUCAAUGUAUGUGUCUAGGUUUUGAAGCUAGAUAAUCUUGAAGCUCAACACCCCCCUCAAGUUGGAGGGGGAGACCACCUUCAACUUGACCAGCAAAGGAUGUAGGAUAGUGCCAGGAAGUGGCUUGGUGAGAAGAUCAGCCAGCUGGCGGAAGUAGGGACAUGGGAGAGAGUAAUAAGCCUACCAGCUAACAGAUCUCUCACAAAAUGACAAUCUACCUCGAUAUGCUUGGUCCGCUCAUGAAAAACAGGAUUCUUGGCAAUAUGUAUAGCAGCCUGGUUGUCACAGAAAAGGGAAGAGAAACAGAAACACCAAUGUCAGUGAGCAAACGGGAAAACCAAGACAAUUCAGCGACUACCUUACUGAGAGCCCGAUACUCAGCUUCAGCAGAGGAUAAAGAAACAACAGGUUGUUUCUUGAACUUCCAACUAAUCAAGCAGCCACCCAAAAGAACACAAAAACCAGUCACAGACCUGCGAGUAUCUGGACAGGCAGCCCAAUCACUGUCAGAAUAAGCAUGUACAGAGAAAUCAGAACUGUCAGAAUGGAAGAGACCCAAAUUCAUAGUCCUCUUAAGAUAUCUGAGGACAUGUAGUGCAACAGUCGUAUGAGGGACUCUGGGACACUUCAAAUAUUGACUCAUAUGCUGAACAGCAAAGCAGAUGUCAGGUCUGGUGUGAGUCAAAAAUAAGAGCUUACCAAUAAUGCUCCUAUAUUGAUCAGGGGAGGAGAAGAUGUCUCCAGAAUCAGCAUGGAGUUUUACAUUAAGAUCCAAAGGACAAACAACAGGAN